rnacentral:lncRNA from 1 species
AGGAAACGCUGCCGAGGAGUAGGCGGGGCGGGCGCUUUGGUUCCGAGGGUGCUUCUGCUCCGACUGCUUUUCCCACGGGCGUCAUCUAUAGUCCGGAGGACAGCCCCAGGGCAGAGGCCUCUGUUCAUCUAGUUUUUCCAUGUCCGAAGACUCAAAGAUUCUCAUUAGUCAUCCAUUUUUUCCCUCCGUUCUGCUGAAUAUCAACCUGAACUUUUUUUUUGCAUCACUGGGCAUUAUCAUUUCACACUUUGAGUUCCUGGAGCUGGAAGUACAGAAUCCAAAAAUAUGUUUAUAUUUUCAAAUUUCUCUUCCACUCCAAUGUAAAAAUAAACUGACAAAUGUUUAUAUGUUCAUCCUAAAAAAAAAAAAAAAAAAAAAAAAAAAA